rnacentral:tRNA from 1 species
GACGCUGUAGUUUAAAAAACAUUACACUUUCAUUGUAAAGAUAGGCUAAAGCCUCUGUGUUU